CCAGUCUCUAGAGGCUUUGCAGGAGUGGCUGCUGCCACGUGUGCAUCAGUAGGUGGCAGAGAGGAAAGAGCCCGUGUCCACACUCAGUGUUCCGACCUAUGAACAUCUGAAUCAUUAGUAGCCUAACAUU